UACCGGCCACACCCCUUUUGGAGGCGGGGCUCCAACGAGGCCGUCCUCUGAUAGGGUGAAACGGGUUGCGUUGCCAUGGUGACAGGCGAAGAGGUGCGUCAUUUGUCUCUCCCUGGCGAGGCCUUUUUCCGGACUUCAAUUCCCAGAAGCCUCAGCCGAUUAUGCCCAUGAUUAGGAAUUCUGGGAGCGGAAGUCCCAAAGCCUGAAAAGCCAGAGUGCCGCCGUCCCUGCAUCGCAUACUACAUUGAACCAUGGCAGCUAAAGUGGGACCAAAGCGCAUCUAUUAUAUCGUGUGGAUGCAUCCCAUCGGAGCUCCAUGUUAAGGAUUUCAAGGCGUCGUCAAGAACGAGCACAAACACAAGCGCAGAGUGACAAUCACGUAUUUUAGAAAACAAACGGAACCAUUGUGAAAGUGCCUCGGAAAGGAAAGACAGAAAGAAAGAAAGAAAGGAAAACACAGCGGAGGGAGGGCGAAAGGCAAAGCGACAGCCCGCGGGCCGUUUCUGGCCCCGAGGUCAGAUCAGGUCAAAAUCGAUGGGGCUGAUGCGGGCCACGGGGGCCCUCCAGAAGUUGAAGCUGUUGAACUGGAGGAGGCCGUCGUCGUCGCCGUCCGGAGAAGGGCGGUUUUGUGCAUCGCGGCCAGCGGCCACUCCACCUUUGGGCUUGUAGGCGGCCAUGUCGGCCAGGCCGAGGAGCUCCAACUCGGAGAGAUCCAGCUCCGGGAUGGGCAUGCGCCAGAAGAGGAAGGAGUCGUACUGGGUGUUCAUGGUGUCCCUCAUUGCGCCCUGAAAAAGAGAGAAUCGGAGCGGGCUGUUAUUGACAUCCAUCACGGAUUUGUCAACUAAGACGAAGUCAUCUAUGUACAGGAUAGCAGGCACAGGCCAACUUGGGCCCUCCGGGUGUUUUGGACUUCAACUCCCACAAUUCCUAACAAUUCCGAACAGACUAAAAACAUUGGACGAUCGAUUAAAUUAACAGAAUGGGAAGAGAUUUGGAAUAAAAAGCUAAGAUAUACAUAUGCCUCUGAUUUAAAAGAAAAUUGGUGAAAAGUUUUUCAUAGAUGGUAUAUGACACCAAAAAAAUUAGGCCUAAUGUACAAAAACUAUGAUAAGAGAUGUCGGAAAUGUAAAACCCAGGAAGGCUCGUUUUAUCAUUUAUGGUGGUCUUGUGAAAAAUAAAAUAAAAAAAUUGGAAAAUGA